CAUGCAGUCGAACGGUGAAGCCAAGCUUGCUUGGUGGAUCAGUGGCGAACGGGUGAGUAACACGUGAGCAACCUGCCCUGGACUCUGGGAUAAGCGCUGGAAACGGCGUCUAAUACUGGAUAUGAGCUCUCAUCGCAUGGUGGGGGUUGGAAAGAUUUUUCGGUCUGGGAUGGGCUCGCGGCCUAUCAGCUUGUUGGUGAGGUAAUGGCUCACCAAGGCGUCGACGGGUAGCCGGCCUGAGAGGGUGACCGGCCACACUGGGACUGAGACACGGCCCAGACUCCUACGGGAGGCAGCAGUGGGGAAUAUUGCACAAUGGGCGGAAGCCUGAUGCAGCAACGCCGCGUGAGGGAUGACGGCCUUCGGGUUGUAAACCUCUUUUAGCAGGGAAGAAGCGAGAGUGACGGUACCUGCAGAAAAAGCGCCGGCUAACUACGUGCCAGCAGCCGCGGUAAUACGUAGGGCGCAAGCGUUAUCCGGAAUUAUUGGGCGUAAAGAGCUCGUAGGCGGUUUGUCGCGUCUGCUGUGAAAUCCCGAGGCUCAACCUCGGGCCUGCAGUGGGUACGGGCAGACUAGAGUGCGGUAGGGGAGAUUGGAAUUCCUGGUGUAGCGGUGGAAUGCGCAGAUAUCAGGAGGAACACCGAUGGCGAAGGCAGAUCUCUGGGCCGUAACUGACGCUGAGGAGCGAAAGGGUGGGGAGCAAACAGGCUUAGAUACCCUGGUAGUCCACCCCGUAAACGUUGGGAACUAGUUGUGGGGACCAUUCCACGGUUUCCGUGACGCAGCUAACGCAUUAAGUUCCCCGCCUGGGGAGUACGGCCGCAAGGCUAAAACUCAAAGGAAUUGACGGGGACCCGCACAAGCGGCGGAGCAUGCGGAUUAAUUCGAUGCAACGCGAAGAACCUUACCAAGGCUUGACAUACACCAGAACACCGUAGAAAUACGGGACUCUUUGGACACUGGUGAACAGGUGGUGCAUGGUUGUCGUCAGCUCGUGUCGUGAGAUGUUGGGUUAAGUCCCGCAACGAGCGCAACCCUCGUUCUAUGUUGCCAGCACGUAAUGGUGGGAACUCAUGGGAUACUGCCGGGGUCAACUCGGAGGAAGGUGGGGAUGACGUCAAAUCAUCAUGCCCCUUAUGUCUUGGGCUUCACGCAUGCUACAAUGGCCGGUACAAAGGGCUGCAAUACCGUGAGGUGGAGCGAAUCCCAAAAAGCCGGUCCCAGUUCGGAUUGAGGUCUGCAACUCGACCUCAUGAAGUCGGAGUCGCUAGUAAUCGCAGAUCAGCAACGCUGCGGUGAAUACGUUCCCGGGUCUUGUACACACCGCCCGUCAAGUCAUGAAAGUCGGUAACACCUGAAGCCGGUGGCCCAACCCUUGUGGAGGGAGCCGU
rnacentral:rRNA from 2 species